CAAACCAACAGGGAUUGCCUUAGUAACGGCGAGUGAAGCGGCAAAAGCUCAAAUUUGAAAUCUGGCACCUUCGGUGUCCGAGUUGUAAUUUGAAGAAGGUAACUUUGGAGUUGGCUCUUGUCUAUGUUCCUUGGAACAGGACGUCACAGAGGGUGAGAAUCCCGUGCGA
rnacentral:rRNA from 1 species